rnacentral:lncRNA from 1 species
AUGCUCAUCCAAGCUGCUCAGUAACCCAGACAGUACACAGUCACUGCACCCACGUGCUCCAGAAAGUUUCCAGCCAAAAGAAAAAAAAACAUCAUUACUUAGCCAUGAAAGUCAGCCUCCAAACCCAUGGAUUAAUUGGAAAUUGGACACAGGAUUUGGCUGGCAUGGCACAAAUCCUUUGGUUGCAUUAGGCUUAAAAGACGUUCUGGCUUAAGGGAGAAGAGCAACAAAGGAAAAGUCUGCUGGACAGAUUUUGGUUUAAGGUAGGUUGCUUAAGAUAGAUGACAUUCAUCGAGUAUUUACCAUGUAAGUACUUCCAUCUUUGCUGGAUGACGAAUUUUUCAUUGGUCACUUCAUUUAAUUUCACAGGAACUCUACGAGAUAACUCAAUGUGCCUAUUCAAUGGAUCCAAGUCACCCAGCUAGGAAUUGUGCAGGCAGACAUGUAAUUUAGGCCGCUGGACUCCGGAGCCACAUUCUUACCUACCAUUGGAUAGAUCUCACUACACUGUUUGGGCUUCUGCUUGUUGUCAGGGCUAAACAAUUGGGAUGCAGUCCUGGUUAUUAAUUCUGUGCUAUCCCUAACAGGCAUAAUGUUUUAAAGCUGAUGAGAGAGAAAACUUUUUUUUUUUUUUAAUCAAUGCAUUCUACUUGACGUUAAGGAUUUCACUGCUGCCAGAAGAAUCAACUAACAGGUUGAGAUGCUCUUAGUCAUUCACACGGGAUUUAUGCUUGUGCCUUGCAAGGCAUAUGGUCAUGAAGAAUUGUGACUUGCCAUUAAAUUUGAGAAAAAUGCUCUUGCUUUCAACAAAUGAAUGCAAUUGGGUUGAUAGCAUGUGUCUAACCAGACAAGACAGAGAUGCAGAAGUUAAAUCUCUGGCAGCUUUUAUGUACAGAUAUGCAGUUUAUGAGACAUUGACAAAAGCAUUUAUUCCUGCUUUCUUUCUACUUCUGAAUCUUAAGUAUACUAGCAUCAAAAAUGAAGGAAAAAAGCAUUCUCAUAGAGUUCAUCUGAUAUCAGAAACUAUGAAAGAUAUUACACCUGGUUGACUUGGAGAUCCUUCAGGGAUGGCAUCUGUUACGUCUCUCUUGAAAUACAGGCCCACGGUUGUUGAUCUGCAAAUGUUGAUGAAAACCCAAACUGUAUUUGUCUCUGUUGUCUCAUGGCUUUGCCACCAUAUGCUAAAUCAAAUUACACUUCACAGUUGGCAGCUGAAAGAAAUGAAGAAAUAGUCAAUGCAAAGAUAUCUUCCUUGGCAUCACUGGGGAUAUAAA